rnacentral:rRNA from 1 species
GGGUGAGUAAUGCAUCGGAACGUACCUUUCAGUGGGGGAUAACGUAGCGAAAGUUACGCUAAUACCGCAUAUUCUGUGAGCAGGAAAGCAGGGGAUCGCAAGACCUUGCGCUGAUUGAGCGGCCGAUAUCAGAUUAGCUAGUUGGUGAGGUAAAGGCUCACCAAGGCGACGAUCUGUAGCGGGUCUGAGAGGAUGAUCCGCCACACUGGAACUGAGACACGGUCCAGACUCCUACGGGAGGCAGCAGUGGGGAAUUUUGGACAAUGGGGGCAACCCUGAUCCAGCCAUGCCGCGUGAGUGAAGAAGGCCUUCGGGUUGUAAAGCUCUUUCGGCCGGGAAGAAAUCGUAUGGGUUAAUACCCUGUGCGGAUGACGGUACCGGCAUAAGAAGCACCGGCUAACUACGUGCCAGCAGCCGCGGUAAUACGUAGGGUGCGAGCGUUAAUCGGAAUUACUGGGCGUAAAGCGUGCGCAGGCGGUUUUGUAAGACAGGCGUGAAAUCCCCGGGCUCAACCUGGGAACUGCGCUUGUGACUGCAAGGCUAGAGUAUGGCAGAGGGGGGUGGAAUUCCACGUGUAGCAGUGAAAUGCGUAGAGAUGUGGAGGAACACCAAUGGCGAAGGCAGCCCCCUGGGCCAAUACUGACGCUCAUGCACGAAAGCGUGGGUAGCAAACAGGAUUAGAUACCCUGGUAGUCCACGCCCUAAACGAUGUCAACUAGGUGUUGGGUGGGUAAAACCAUUUAGUACCGGAGCUAACGCGUGAAGUUGACCGCCUGGGGAGUACGGCCGCAAGGUUAAAACUCAAAGGAAUUGACGGGGACCCGCACAAGCGGUGGAUGAUGUGGAUUAAUUCGAUGCAACGCGAAAAACCUUACCUACCCUUGACAUGUCCAGGAGCCUGAAGAGAUUUGGGUGUGCCCGAAAGGGAACUGGAACACAGGUGCUGCAUGGCUGUCGUCAGCUCGUGUCGUGAGAUGUUGGGUUAAGUCCCGCAACGAGCGCAACCCUUGUCGUUAAUUGCCAUCAUUUAGUUGGGCACUUUAACGAGACUGCCGGUGACAAACCGGAGGAAGGUGGGGAUGACGUCAAGUCCUCAUGGCCCUUAUGGGUAGGGCUUCACACGUCAUACAAUGGUCGGUACAAAGGGUUGCCAACCCGCGAGGGGGAGCCAAUCCCAGAAAGCCGAUCGUAGUCCGGAUUGCAGGCUGCAACUCGCCUGCAUGAAGUCGGAAUCGCUAGUAAUCGUGGAUCAGCAUGUCACGGUGAAUACGUUCCCGGGUCUUGUACACACCGCCCGUCACACCAUGGGAGCGGGUUCCGCCAGAAGUAGGUAGCCUAACCGCAAGGG